rnacentral:rRNA from 1 species
GUUAGGAAUAUUGGACAAUGGGCGAAAGCCUGAUCCAGCCAUGCCGCGUGAACGAUGAAGGCCUUCGGGUUGUAAAGUUCUUUAGCCGAUGAUUAUAAUGACUGUAGUCGGAAAAUAAGCCCCGGCUAACUUCGUGUCAGCAGCCGCGGUAAUACGAAGGGGGCGAGCGUUAUUCGGAAUCACUGGGCGUAAAGCGUGCGUAGGCGGUUUUGUAAGUUAGGAGUGAAAGCCCUGGGCUCAACCUUGGAAUUGCUCUUAAAACUGCAAGGCUCGAAUCUCGGAGAGGAUAGCGGAAUUUCCAGUGUAGCAGUGAAAUGCGUAGAUAUUGGAAGGAACACCAGUGGCGUAAGCGGCUAUCUGGACGAGUAUUGACGCUGAGGCACGAAAGCGUGGGGAUCAAACAGGAUUAGAUACCCUAGUAGUCC